UCGAGCGGUAGAGAGAAGCUUGCUUCUCUUGAGAGCGGCGGACGGGUGAGUAAUGCCUAGGAAUCUGCCUGGUAGUGGGGGAUAACGUUCGGAAACGGACGCUAAUACCGCAUACGUCCUACGGGAGAAAGCAGGGGACCUUCGGGCCUUGCGCUAUCAGAUGAGCCUAGGUCGGAUUAGCUAGUUGGUGGGGUAAUGGCUCACCAAGGCGACGAUCCGUAACUGGUCUGAGAGGAUGAUCAGUCACACUGGAACUGAGACACGGUCCAGACUCCUACGGGAGGCAGCAGUGGGGAAUAUUGGACAAUGGGCGAAAGCCUGAUCCAGCCAUGCCGCGUGUGUGAAGAAGGUCUUCGGAUUGUAAAGCACUUUAAGUUGGGAGGAAGGGUUGUAGAUUAAUACUCUGCAAUUUUGACGUCACCGACAGAAUAAGCACCGGCUAACUCUGUG
rnacentral:rRNA from 1 species